ensembl:lncRNA
AUCUGCUGCUAACAUCUUGCUGCCAGAUACCACAGCACACCUUCACAGGUCUUGUGGAGUCCAUGCCUCGACAGAGCCUGUGGGAUGGGGUUCCUCUUGCAUUUACUUUCAGUCUGGAUGCUGCUGCCGCUGCUGCUCCGAUCCACUUGGAUGUCCCUCUUCAUGAAGGAGGGUCCUAUCUUUCCCACUUGAUCGCGCACUUAUUUUUUGGCGAUCCGAAAGCAACUUUAAAGAGUUCAUCCGCAUUUUUAAUCUAAACAACGGAGAGCCGAGAAGAGUUGGCCGUUGUCUUGACCGGUGCAAAGCAUGAAGUUCCUGGAGGCUGCGCGCGUCUCGGUGCUGCUGUUGGUGCUGCUGGUGGGGGAUCACCGCGGAGUGCAGGGGAAAGCGGCUCGGCUGGAGCGCUGGGUGAAAGCUGGACUGCAGUACCUGAAGGUGCACCUGUGCCGCAGGGUGGCUUUACCGGAGAGCGAGUGUCGCAGGCUCGCUCAUCUCCAUCCCAGCGGAAUAGCGGUGUAUACUUCAGAGUCUGGUUCUGGUAAAGUGCUCGCCAUCCUGCCCGACUCGCACCCCGCAUUAAAAGCGAGUCACAGUGCGGGUGCGCUUGCUGCUGAGCGCGGGCUGGAGCGGGAGCGCUUCACCGACGUGAGCGCGCAUGACGCCGUGCUCGUGCUGGACCCGAGUCCCGGAGAGAGCUUCGGCCACCCCGUCCUGCUCUUCUACCUGGACUUUAACAUGGCCAAGAAAAAGUGUGCUCAUAUGGAGGGGAUUUAUUUGGGAGAGGAGUGUAUGACUCUGGCCCUGAAGACUCGCUGUCAGAACCAGCUGAAGCGGAGAAGGAGCCGCAGCGACCGUACGAUGGACCGCACACAGAUUCGGAAGAGUGUGGUGUCCAGAACAAGCCAUACAGAGCGUAGUAAUGGCCUCUGCGAGAUCCACUUCCUGCCCCGAGUGGUGGGAGUGAGGGACAGCAACCGAACGCAGCGCCUCCGCUGUGUAGAUCAUCCAGAGUUUGCUAGAUGCCCCCAGCCUUUGCCCCUCACUAGUCCAAGCAUGCCAAUCUCUAGCUGUGAACUCAAUAAAAACACCCGUCGAUGCCACCAGCAGCCUCUCGCCACACAUCUCUCCUGUCGCCUCUACCAGACCUGUGACCAUGCAGUACUGCUCUCAGGUGGUUGGCAGGAACAGAUCACAUACCAGCAUCAUGAGCAGAAUCUGCUGCUCUUCUACCAGAUGCUAAGAAACAAUGGUUUUCAUAAGGAUCACAUUAAAACAUUCUUUGCUGGAAAUGGACAGGUAGCAGCUAAAGAGACAGAAGGAAUGUAUCCAGCCACAGAAAAGGAGGUAAUCAGGAACCAUAUCUCCUACAUCUGUCGCAAGCAGCACUGUGCAGACACAUUCGUGUUGUACCUGAACAGCCCGACCCGCAACGACGGAACCAUGCUGCUGUGGGACCGCAACAACAACGGCAUUGCAGAUCUAAAGGAGCGCUAUGCAGUAGGUGAGCUGCUGGCUGACCUUGCAGGCUGCAGGGCAAGUCGAGUUCUGCUUUUUGUUGAGCAGAGCUACACCGGAGUUCUCACUAAGAGACUAAAGGGCUCUCUUAAACACCUCAAUGUGGUGCUGCUCAACGGCCUGCCCUGGGUGAACACGGCCCAAUUCUGGGCCUCUCUGCACCCUUCCCACUGCCUCAUCGACCACCUCAGUAAGAAUGCUCUAAUGCCUCAUGUGGGUGAUGGGAUAAGCCUGCUGAACGUGACUUUGUCUGGAGCUCCCUGUAAUUCCACGCCACCUCUUUCAGAGGCUGAGAUGAAGAAGGAGUACAUGGGCUGUCAGAAUCUGCCAACAGCACUGUGGCACCAGGGCAGUCGAAAGGCUCACAACAAUGAGAGAAACUGAGAGACAAUGUUCAUUCUUCCAGUGCGGCCUCAUAAACUUCACUACCGGCAUCUAAUCUCAACUAGAGAAUGCUAGAGAUGCCAAACAUGUCUUUUUGCUCAUCUUAGUUCUUUACUAUGGAUUUUGAUCUUCGGUUGUAACAAUAGAUUCAGGCAGAAUGCUGCUAGACAAGAAUAAAAAAUGUGUGUAUAAAUUGUUGUUGCUCAAGUAGAGGUCAAACUGUCAUUAGAUGGACCCAGUCUAUCCAAAACAAAUGGACUGCGGUAAGAUGGAUGAAAAGAAACAUGCUGUCAUGAAGGCCACAGGAGUAUAUAUGGUUUAAGAGGAAGUGUUAUGUCCUCACUCUGAACCUCAGCCUUCCAUCUGCAGCAUCCCGGUGUUUGGCUCCUCCAGUGUUUUUGUCUACCCACUGUGGGGGUUCAUCCGGCGGGCAGCUGCACUUUUGCAUCUCUCCACAUUCAGAGUGUCCUGGCGCGGGUCAGUGCUCACAUCACAUCCUGGAGAUGAACCAUGGUGACUAUGCCAGUCUGACAUUUCAGGACAAAUCUAUGUUGCCCUUGCAGACAUGAAGGAGCCUAGGCAAUGCCAUCAUUUAGUCAUGAGAACUGUUCCUUCGACAAGCUCUGCCCCUUCCAAGGCCACUUUCCCGCUCUAUUUAAAAGGAGUUCUGGUUUUUCAAGCAGUUUGACCUGUAUCGGCUUUGGCCUGUAGGUGACAGAACACAAACUAGAGGAAGACAUGUAGCUGUCUCACAGGUCUCUGCUGAAAUUUAUGUACAAACUUUCAAAGAUUAAACAAGGUCAAUAUAAGUCAGGAAUAAAAAGAAAAUUAGACAUUUUUAAAAAAGCCCCAGACAAGGCCUGGCAUUAUAGUUCUGAUUAAGCUUGUUUGUGUAUACGGUAUUUAAUAUAAAGGUGUUGUAAGAUCCAAUACCUCAGUUAUCAGUUAUCCCAUACCUUCAUACCUCUUUCCUGUGUACAAACACCCCUUAAACAAUGUUCAGUGCAUGUUGGCUAAAAAAUAGUUUAACAGCGUAUACCCAAGUGUAAAACUCAGCUGAGUCAAGAAAUAUUUUUUUGUAUAGAACAGAAAUGUGUUUAUUCUGUAAAUGUCAUGUUGUGCUAAAUAAAUGAAUUUUAAUGUCACUUAAGAGGAUAUUAAUGUCCUCAUCUCAGUUGUUAAACUGUAGCUUGUGUGACCUUAUGUAAAUACUCAAAAUAAAUUAACUUUUGUACAUAACAUGUAUUUAUUUCAAUGGAGUGUCAAACAAUACAUUUUGAGUUUUAUUACAUCAGCAGCAGUAAAACAACAUGAGUCAACCAAAGUCUAUAUAAACAUGGAUUUUCUUAUAAGUCCAGUCAUUUACUAACUGUGUCCCUUUUCCCCAUUCAUCUCCUUAAAGAAUACUGCUGCUAGAAAGUUUGUGAACCCUAUACAAUUUUCUGUAUUUCUGAACAAAUUUGACCUGAAAUGUGGUUGGAUCUUCAUCGAAAUCCUAAAAUUUGAUCAAGACAACCCAAUUAAACAAAUGAAACAAAAACAUUAGUCUUUACAUUUAUUUAUUGAGCAAAACUGUCCAACAUUAAAUAUCUUUGUUGGAAAAAUUAUGUGAACCUCUGUGAGUAUGAGUUCAUUUAAAGGGGUAAUUGAAGUCAGGUGUUUCAAUCAAGGAGAUAGCAAUCAGAUAUGAGUUUAGCAGUGUCUCAAGAACCAUGUCUCAAGAACAUAAACUUGGGUGUUCACUAUGAAAGUCUGGUCUUCACCACACAGGUUCAUAGCAGUGUGCCAUGCCAGAAUCAAAGUAGAUUCCUGAGGACCUCAGAAAGGGUUCACCAUGCUGGAAAAGGUUACAAAUACAAUUCUAAAGUGUUUGGCCUCCACCAAUCCACUGUGAAGCAAAUGAAAUACAAAUGGAGGAAAAAUCAGCACCACUGUUACUCUCCCAAGGAGUGGUCAUCCAGCAAAAAUCACUCCAAGGGUGCGGUGAAUAAAAUGACAAGAAGUCACAAGGAACCCGAGGGUUACAUCUAAGGACCUACAGACCACUCUUGCAUCGAGUAAUGUCAAUAUUCAUGAGCCCAUCAUCAGGCAAACACUGAACAAGAACGGGGUGCAUUGCAGGAUAGACACUACUCUCCAAAAAGUACACUGCUGCCUGUCUAAAAUUUGUUCAAGACCAUGUCAAUAAGCCAGAAGAUUACUGGAAGAAUGUUCUGUGGACAGACGAAUCCAAAACAAACCAAAACUUUUUUUGGUUUAAAUGAAAAACGCUAUUUUAGCCAAAAACCAAUCAUUAUAUUCCAACAUAAGCACCUCAUCCUAACAGUGAAGUAUGGAGAUGGCAGUACUAUAGUUUGGGGCUGCUUUGCUGCCUCAGGUUCAAGACAGCUUGCUAUUAUUGAUGGACAUAUUGACUUCUGAAUUGUACCAGCAAAUUCUACAAGAGAAUGGCAGGGUAUCUGUCAUAGAAUUACUGUACUGGUCCUAAGUCUACAAAGAAAUGGUUAAAGAAAUUUAACAUGUGUUAGGCUUAGUCAAAUGAACCCUAACCCUAGAAUGGCCAAGUCAAAGUCCAGACCUUAAUCUAAUUGAAAUGUUGUGGAACGACCUAAAAAGAGCAGUUCAUACAAGGAAGCCCACCAGCAUCACUGAGUUGAAGCAGUUUUGUAAGGCGGAAUAGACUAAAAGUCCUCCAAUCCACUGUGCAGUAUUGAAUUGAUCACCAGUUACUGGAAACAUUUGGUUGAAGUUGUUGCUGCUCAUGGGGGUCACACCGGUUACUGAAAACAAAGGUUUGCAUACUUUUUCCAACAAAGAUAUUUGAUGUUGGAUAAUU